GCUGUUUAUUAUUGUGCUCGAGAGUAACAGUGAUACAGGAAGCCACAGAGCUGUACACAAACCACUGCAGAUGUCACUGUGACAGUCAUUGAUAGAAAGUGUUUUUGUUCCAGCAGUGAGUGGAGAUGUAGCACUGUGAUUACUUUGACUACUGGGGCAGCGGGACUGAAGUCACAGUAACAGAUACUACAACAUCACCACCGACUCUGUUCCCUUUGGUUCAGUGCAAUCCUGGGGCUGCGAAUCUAGUCACUGUUGGCUGUCUUGCACAAGACUUCUACCCAAAUAGUCUUACUUUCCAGUGGACCGAUGCCAGU